CCGAACUAACACAAUAGUAGUGUGUUAACCCGUAACUUAUGAGAAUGCUUAGGUUGGUAAGGUGUCAAUGGAAGGUUUGUUAAGUGGAUAGAAACUUCGACCCGCUAUAAAAAAUGAUAGGAACCUCAGUACGAAUCGAACGCCACACUUUCGGGAUUAAAGUGAUAAGUUCGGAUAGAAAGACGGGUUGACGCCACAAGGGUUACUUGAUAAGUCAGACGAGUCUUUGGAGAACAAUGAGAGUUGAAAACAAACUCACAAAGUAAUCAGAUUUCAUAUAAAGUUUAAAAGUAUAUUGUCUAACCCCAAAACAAUUACAAAGCAAACUAUUUAUAGCUAAAUUCCUAGGCUAGCCGAAUGGACACUUGAGCAGCUAAAAAGUCAGCUUAUUUUCAAAGCAAAUGAAUUGAAAAUUUCAUGUAGCUUCCUAGAACGUCCCUUGAAACUUUCUUGAAGAUUCCCAGCUUUGGAGACGUCAAUGGACAGCCAUUUGAUGUCUUCUAAUAGCCUUGAAUUAAUGAGGUGAUGGUUGAGCUGAAAUGGCUGAAUAGAAUUGUUUAGAUUGGCCUAAAUUCGUCCAACUUGUGUGAAAGCUCUUAUGGAUGCUUGGGGAGCUCAAAGGCCAACUUGGGGAAGAGAAAUGGGCUGCCAAAUAAAUGUGAGGAGUCAUAGCAUUUUAAUCUCCACGAAGAGGCACAUUCCCUCACAUGGACGGCACAUUUAUGGCAUUUGAGAAGAACGAAAAUGGCUCAUGGAAAAGAGGAAUCAGCAACUCUUCAUGGAUCCCUUGCUGUGCACGAAAAAAAUAAAUCAGCAGCUCAUUAAGUGGACGUUCCUUGCAUGUGGAACAUCACAUUUAAUUCAUGGCUUUGCUGCACAAUAAAUCAGCAAGCAGCUUCUUUAAUUUCGUCCAUUAAAUGGCCACAUGAAAAAGCACAAGCAGCUCCUUAAAUGCUUCCAGCAUCCAUUGAAUGGCCGUCCAUAAUUGCUUUUGCUGCACAUUAAUUCCAGCAAUUUUAAUUUUGGCAACAACCACUUCUUUUAAUGCUGUCCAUGUACCUGCAUGCAACAACCAUUAAUUCAUGUUAAGACAACAUUAAAUGGUUAACUAGACAUAUUUAAUUCGGCAGCCACAAUUAACUUCAACUGGACACCAUUUAAGACAUCAUUAAAUUCGGUUGUAGCAAAACAAAUUAAAUGAUGUAAUGACAAUUAAAUUCAGCUGGACACCUUAAAAACAUACAUUAAAUUCGUCCAAACAUGUAGCAGCAGCAUUAAUUUCGUCCAGACAUAUUUAUAACAUGCAGUGGCAGCAUUAAAUUCGUCAUAAUAAAUAGAUGUAAUAGCCUAGACAUAUUUAUGCUAUGUAUGAAAAUAGGACACAUUAAAAAAACAUAAAUAUAAAACAUAUUUAAAACACCUAAUUAUAAUGUCCAAUUUUAAUAAAUUUAAUACUAACACUUAGUUGUGCUGGAAUAAAUAAAUAAACUAACUUAUUCAAUUUAUUUUAGCAAAUGAAAAUUUAAGAAUUAAAAUAAACUCAAAUUGAGCAAAAUGAUCCCAUUGAGCUGGAAACAAGCUAAACGAAGCUCAGCGAGAUGCAAUUGAGCUAAUUUAGCUCGCAUGGGUGUGCAAGAAAUACAUAUGGAGCUGAUCGAAAAAUGAGCCCGAGGCAUGGUCGUAUCCCAAUUUUUCAUCACACAAUCCCAAUUUUUGUUUGGGCUUACCUGGACUUACUUCUUGAUCAAUCUUGACAAUGAUAGGCUCAUGAGCAGAAAGAUAUUUCACAUUACUAUGUAAAACACAUUUAUCAACAAUCAAAUUAUGAUUUCCAAUCAGAUCAAGAUGAAAAACUUUCUCACAAACUAAGUCUUUGCUAAUCUCGUCAUCAAGAAUCAAGUAAGAUUGAGAAGACUCAAAUACAGUAGAUCCCUUACAUGGCUUACCUUUAAGCACUUGUGGACUAGGGUCAUCUACGAUCUUACCUUUCUCGACUAAUCGAAAUCGUUUCUCCUUAGAAAAGUAUUGAAGUUGAAAUUGAUCGAUGGGAUUUCGAGAAACCUGAAAAGUAGAAACAAAACAAGGAAAAUUCAUAGGAUGGUUAGUAACAACACUCCUUUCUUUUUCACUUUCAUCCUUUUCAUUUCUUUCUUUUUCCAACUCAUUUUCAAAUCCUCUUUCUUUUACCAUAUCACUCAUUUCUUUUGCACUCUCGUUUCUUCCUUCAAUCUCACUCUCUUUUUCGGUUUCCUUUUCUUUUUCGCACUCGUUUUUAUUCUCAAUCUCAUUUUCAAUUUUCUUUUCUAUCUUACACUCAUCUUCUUUUUCUUUCAUUUCUUUUUCAUUUUCAUUUUCUCGCUCGCGCUCUUUUUCUUUUUCACAUGCUAUUUCAAUUCCAUUACAAAAGUAGAAAUCAUCAAAAUGAGAAACCUUUUGUUGAGAAUAAGAAAAGGAUUCUUCAUACAAAUGACAAUCAUCUCUUUGUAAUAAAUCUUCCGUAGCCGAGUACUUUGACACUCUUGAAACACGUGCACCUCUUCGUAAAUAAUCCUUUGUAGAUGAAUAAAUUGAGGCACUUGUAGAGACACGUUUACCUUUUCAUUUAUCAUCUCGGAAAGACUCAAACUCGGAGUUUGCUUCUUUUGGUCUCGAACGCCUUGUUGAAUAGAAGUCUUGAUAAGAGUCUCUUAUCGAGUAGUGUCGUCGGGAUGAUCUUAACUCCGUUUCUCGACUUGGUAGAUUUUGUUUCCGUCGGGCCUUUUCCUCCACUCGGUCCAAACGAUAAUGCAAUUUAUCAAAUUUUAAUUUUACCAUUCUACGCAUUUCUUGCAUCAAAUAUUGGAAUUCUGAUUCGGAAAAUUCUUCUUGAGACAUGAUUUAAUUGCUCACCACAAAAAUCUCACGUUUCACUCGCAAAGAAAUUCACACAACUUGGCUUUUACUUCUCUCAAAUGGUCUCACCAAUCACUCUUGCCUUUUUCCACUCGAUUUUUCGCCUCUCGAAGUUCUUCGCAAACUAAGUCGACGAAUCAAUACCGUUUGGCGUCGGCUUACAAAAUUGAUUUGGCUUGGUGGGUAAUGAUGUCGGAAAUGGUAGGCUAUCAAACAAAAUAGAAAUGGUUAAGUGUGGCUAUAUAGAUAUGGUCCUUCAGGCAACAAGCAAUGCUUUUACAAACCCAAAAUGAAUUUCAAUCACUCUUUUUUUUUCAAUUUCGAUUUUUUUUCUUCUUUUUUUUUAAUUCCGAAUUUUUUUUCUUCUUUUUUUUCCUUCAAUACUAAAUACAAAAAUAAAAAUAAAUUGAAUACAAACUUUUUUUUUGAAUUUUUUUUUCGAAUUUUUUUUUUCAAGUUUUUUUUUAUUUUUUUACAAUACCGUAAUACCGAUAACAUCGAUCUUACUCUGAUUCAGCUAGCUCUGAUACCAAAUGAUGUGCCCCGGCUCGGGAAGGAGAGUCGAGUCGUAGAUGUGCCCGAUCGUGAAUUGGAGUAAUUUGAAAGCUUUACAAAAUAGGCUAGAAGAAAAGGAAUUAUUUAGGCUCAAAAGAGUUUUGUUGGUUUAGGAAAUGAAUUAGAAGACAAUGGAUGUAAUUUGGCUAAGGAUUCAAAAGCCGAACUAACACAAUAGUAGUGUGUUAACCCGUAACUUAUGAGAAUGCUUAGGUUGGUAAGGUGUCAAUGGAAGGUUUGUUAAGUGGAUAGAAACUUCGACCCGCUAUAAAAAAUGAUAGGAACCUCAGUACGAAUCGAACGCCACACUUUCGAGAUUAAAGUGAUAAGUUCGGAUAGAAAGACGGGUUGACACCACAAGGGUUACUUGAUAAGUCAGACGAGUCUUUGGAGAACAAUGAGAGUUGAAAACAAACUCACAAAGUAAUCAGAUUUCAUAUAAAGUUU
rnacentral:lncRNA from 1 species